rnacentral:rRNA from 1 species
GAAGAAGGGCGUCGGGUUGUAAAGUUCUUUCGGUAGUGAGGAAGGCAUUUAGUUUAAUAGACUAGGUGACUGACGUUAACUACAGAAGAAGCACCGGCUAACUCCGUGCCAGCAGCCGCGGUAAUACGGAGGGUGCGAGCGUUAAUCGGAAUAACUGGGCGUAAAGGGCACGCAGGCGGCGACUUAAGUGAGGUGUGAAAGCCCCGGGCUUAACCUGGGAAUUGCAUUUCAUACUGGGUCGCUAGAGUACUUUAGGGAGGGGUAGAAUUCCACGUGUAGCGGCGAAAUGCGUAGAGAUGUGGAGGAAUACCGAAGGCGAAGGCAGCCCCUUGGGAAUGUACUGACGCUCAUGUGCGAAAGCGUGGGGAGCAAACAGGAUUAGAUACCCUGGUAGUCCACGCUGUAAACGAUGUCGAUUUGGGGGUUGAGCUUUAAGUUUGGCGCCCGUAGCUAACGUGAUAAAUCGACCGCCUGGGGAGUACGGCCGCAAGGUUAAAACUCAAAUGAAUUGACGGGGGCCCGCACAAGCGGUGGAGCAUGUGGUUUAAUUCGAUGCAACGCGAAGAACCUUACCUACUCUUGACAUCCAGAGAACUUUCCAGAGAUGGAUUGGUGCCUUCGGGAACUC